rnacentral:rRNA from 1 species
AUGUCCAAAAAAGUUCUGAGCGCAAAUUUUUACUUGAGCUCACCGUCCAUCUCUAAGUACAUGACGCCCGUACACGGAUGGUACUCCACCGAUGUGACAGCCCAGACGAGCUUUACCCGGUGCAUCCCUCCGGCGCCACCACCACCCGUCGUCCCGCCACCUUCGCUGCUAGUGUCGAUCUUUGGCACGCCCGCCUCGGUCAUCCCAACUCCACCGUUAUGCGUCAGAUUCUUCAGAGUUUUUCUUUCUCAUGUAAUAAGGUUGACGACCACUCUUGUGAGGCUUGCCGUCUUGGCAAGCACGUUCAUCUUCCCUUUAGCGAGUCUACAAAUAUUUCCACCUUUCCGUUUCAGUUAUUGCAUAGUGAUGUUUGGACGUCCACGGCUGCGAGCAACACGGGCUACUUAUACUAUUUAG